ensembl:lncRNA
ACUAAAACCAGAGACAUUUCAUGCUCAAGAGUGAGAGGGGAUUUAAGGACCAAAAUCUAAUCUACUGUAGAGUACAAUGAUGAAAUAUCAGUGUAAUAUCUACUGAAGAGCUUGGGAAACCUCAAUACAAACCCUGCAACAAGGUGGCAACCUGUCCAGGGUGUACCCUCACGUCCUAUGGUAGCUGGGAUCGGCUCCAGCACACCCGCGACCCUGAAUUUGAUAAGAGGAGGAAAACAUGGGCAUUUCCUGUCUCAUUUAAGUUUGCAACAGCUUACAGGAUCAGCUCUCAGGAUGAUGCUGGACUCUUUUCAAAAUGUUAUUGGAAUGUCUUUGCUGCAACGAUGGAGCUGCAUUAUGAAGGUCCACUAUCUGCAGAAGAAGGAAUCAGACACCUCUUACAAAUAUAUCAAAUUUAACUUCACAGCAUACGCACUAAAAUACACAACAUUUCUAUUGCAAACGGAUGACCAUACACUUGUAAAUUAGCAAUAAGAUAUUUCCCAUCAUUCUAGGAAAUCCUGUAAAAACCUUAACAGGUCACCUGAGAAACAUGAAGUUUUUACAAUCUUCAGUCAUUAACUGGAGACAACCCAGUAAUGUCUGAGGUCUAAUUCUGGGCAGGAAUCUUUGUUAUAAUUUUUGCACACAAAAGAUUCAUUUUGUGUUUGUUUAUUUGCACAUGACUCUUAUUUUGCUUCUAUGACCAUUUAAUGAAUAAAUGACAUGAAUAAAAGAGGAAAGUGAAACCUA